rnacentral:rRNA from 1 species
GACGAACCGUGCGAACGUUAUUCGGAAUCACUGGGCUUAAAGCGCGUGUAGGCGGGACGGCACGUCUGUCGCUGAAAUCCCCCGGCUUAACCGGGGAACUGGCGUAGAUACGACCCGUCCUUGAGGGGCGUAGGGGGACCUGGAACUUCCGGUGGAGCGGUGAAAUGCGUUGAGAUCGGAAGGAACGCCCGUGGCGAAAGCGAGGUCCUGGACGCCUACUGACGCUGAGGACGCGAAAAGCCAGGGGAGCGAACGGG